AUAGCUGAGUGAUUGUACGAAAGCGGAUCAUCAGAACUAUACAUUCUACAGACAAUAUCUAUACGCUCGAGAAAAUGAAGUUCACCUGUGUGUUACUGGUUGUAGUGUUGGCCUUUGCUUGUGUAGCAACCGAGUCGACUGACAAUCAAUUUGAUGAGGAAUUGAAUAUCGCCUUCCAAAAACGGAGACCAUGUGUUGAGGUAGGAUACUUCUGCCUUGCCCACAGCCAAUGCUGUCGUGCCGGGGUACAGUCGGUCAGCUCAUGCAGCUGGCAUUUCAAAUGCGAUGAGGCUGGUUAUGGAAAAUAAACCGUACCAACAUGUUCAUCAAGAAUAUGAGAAAAUAAAAAUUUAUGAUUAGAAGAAUCA